UGCAGUCGAACGGUGAAAGAGGAGCUUGCUCCUCUGGAUCAGUGGCGAACGGGUGAGUAACACGUGAGUAACCUGCCCCAGACUCUGGGAUAAGCACUGGAAACGGUGUCUAAUACCGGAUACGAGCUUCAGCCGCAUGGCUAGGAGCUGGAAAGAAUUUCGGUCUGGGAUGGACUCGCGGCCUAUCAGCUAGUUGGUGAGGUAAUGGCUCACCAAGGCGACGACGGGUAGCCGGCCUGAGAGGGUGACCGGCCACACUGGGACUGAGACACGGCCCAGACUCCUACGGGAGGCAGCAGUGGGGAAUAUUGCACAAUGGGCGCAAGCCUGAUGCAGCAACGCCGCGUGAGGGACGACGGCCUUCGGGUUGUAAACCUCUUUUAGUAGGGAAGAAGCGAAAGUGACGGUACCUGCAGAAAAAGCACCGGCUAACUACGUGCCAGCAGCCGCGGUAAUACGUAGGGUGCAAGCGUUAUCCGGAAUUAUUGGGCGUAAAGAGCUCGUAGGCGGUUUGUCGCGUCUGCUGUGAAAACUGGAGGCUCAACCUCCAGCCUGCAGUGGGUACGGGCAGACUAGAGUGCGGUAGGGGAGAUUGGAAUUCCUGGUGUAGCGGUGGAAUGCGCAGAUAUCAGGAGGAACACCGAUGGCGAAGGCAGAUCUCUGGGCCGUAACUGACGCUGAGGAGCGAAAGCAUGGGGAGCGAACAGGAUUAGAUACCCUGGUAGUCCAUGCCGUAAACGUUGGGAACUAGAUGUAGGGACCAUUCCACGGUUUCUGUGUCGCAGCUAACGCAUUAAGUUCCCCGCCUGGGGAGUACGGCCGCAAGGCUAAAACUCAAAGGAAUUGACGGGGGCCCGCACAAGCGGCGGAGCAUGCGGAUUAAUUCGAUGCAACGCGAAGAACCUUACCAAGGCUUGACAUAUACCGGAAAAGUUCAGAAAUGUUCUCCCCGCAAGGUCGGUAUACAGGUGGUGCAUGGUUGUCGUCAGCUCGUGUCGUGAGAUGUUGGGGUUAAGUCCCGCAACGAGCGCAACCCUCGUUCUAUGUUGCCAGCACGUAAUGGUGGGAACUCAUAGGA
rnacentral:rRNA from 1 species